AGUCGUAACAAGGUCUUCGUAGGUGAACCUGCGAAGGGAUCAUUAACGCUCCAUAUUUUACCAAACCAUGGUUUCUUUGUUCUCUCUCUCUUCAAAAAAGAGAGAGAACAAAGAGACUGCAACACGAAAAAAAAUUAUGUACAUGCUUUUCUGCAUUGUACAUAAGGUUUUUAUGUGUGUUUCGAGUACAAAGUUCUCUCAUAUAUAUUAAAAAAACUCUAAAAUCAAAAACAGAAUUGUAUUAUAGUCGCAUUUCUCAAGUCACAUUGAGAAAUGCAAUUACUUAAAGUAAAAAACAAAAUAAUACAACUCCUAACAACGGAUAUCUUGGUUCUCGCGAGGAUGAAGAACGCAGC
rnacentral:misc_RNA from 1 species